rnacentral:rRNA from 1 species
GUGAGUAGUUCAGAGUUGAUCCUGGCUCAGGACGAACGCUGGCGGCGUGCCUAACACAUGCAAGUCGAACGGGGCAUCGAGAGCUUGCUUUUGAUGCUUAGUGGCGAACGGGUGAGUAACGCGUGAGAAACCUGCCUCUCAGUGGGGGACAACAGUUGGAAACGACUGCUAAUACCGCAUAAUGUAUCCGGAGGGCAUCCUUUGGAUACCAAAGCUUUAUGUGCUGAGAGAUGGUCACGCGUCUGAUUAGCUAGAUGGCGGGGUAACGGCCCACCAUGGCGACGAUCAGUAGCCGGUCUGAGAGGAUGAACGGCCACAUUGGGACUGAGAUACGGCCCAG